GUCCAUCCGACGAGUCCCAAAUAGGACGAAACGCACAUCCUGGAU
rnacentral:hammerhead_ribozyme from 1 species